GAGCAACCUGCCCCUGACUCUGGGAUAAGCGGUGGAAACGCCGUCUAAUACCGGAUACGACCUUCCGCCUCAUGGUGGAGGGUGGAAAGUUUUUUCGGUCAGGGAUGGGCUCGCGGCCUAUCAGCUUGUUGGUGGGGUAACGGCCUACCAAGGCGAUUACGGGUAGCCGGCCUGAGAGGGCGACCGGCCACACUGGGACUGAGACACGGCCCAGACUCCUGCGGGAGGCAGCAGUGGGGAAUAUUGCGCAAUGGGCGAAAGCCUGACGCAGCGACGCCGCGUGGGGGAUGACGGCCUUCGGGUUGUAAACCUCUUUUACCACCAACGCAGGCUCCGGGUUCUCUCGGGGUUGACGGUAGGUGGGGAAUAAGGACCGGCUAACUACGUGCCAGCAGCCGCGGUAAUACGUAGGGUCCGAGCGUUGUCCGGAAUUAUUGGGCGUAAAGAGCUCGUAGGCGGCGUGUCGCGUCUGCUGUGAAAGACCGGGGCUUAACUCCGGUUCUGCAGUGGAUACGGGCAUGCUAGAGGUAGGUAGGGGAGACUGGAAUUCCUGGUGUAGCGGUGAAAUGCGCAGAUAUCAGGAGGAACACCGGUGGCGAAGGCGGGUCUCUGGGCCUUACCUGACGCUGAGGAGCGAAAGCAUGGGGAGCGAACAGGAUUAGAUACCCUGGUA
rnacentral:rRNA from 1 species